GGCGUUAUAAUUUAUUAAUAAAAUAGUACUUUGCAAGAGUAAAAAUACUUUUAGUUGACGCUU
rnacentral:tRNA from 1 species